GAUGAACGCUGGCGGCGUGCCUAAUACAUGCAAGUCGAGCGAACAGACGAGGAGCUUGCUCCUCUGAUGUUAGCGGCGGACGGGUGAGUAACACGUGGAUAACCUACCUAUAAGACUGGGAUAACUUCGGGAAACCGGGGCUAAUACCGGAUAACAUGUUGAACCGCAUGGUUCAACAGUGAAAGACGGUCUUGCUGUCACUUAUAGAUGGUUCCGCGCCGCAUUAGCUAGUUGGUAAGGUAACGGCUUACCAAGGCAACGAUGCGUAGCCGACCUGAGAGGGUGAUCGGCCACACUGGAACUAAGACACGGUCCAGACUCCUACGGGAGGCAGCAGUAGGGAAUCGUCCGCAAUGGGCGAAAGCCUGACGGAGCAACGCCGCGUGAGUGAAGAAGGUCUUCGGAUCGUAAAACUCUGUUAUUAAGGAAGAACAAAUGUGUAAGUAACUAUGCACGUCUUGACGGUACCUAAUCAGAAAGCCACGGCUAACUACGUG
rnacentral:rRNA from 1 species